GCUGGCGGCGUGCUUAAUACAUGCAAGUCGAACGAGAAACUUCGCCGCAAGGUGAGGGAGUAAAGUGGCGUAAGGGUGAGUAAUACAUAGAUAACUUACCCUCGAGAUCGGGAUAACCCACCGAAAGGUGGAUUAAUACCGGAUAAAACUCGGAUGCUACAAGGUGUCCAAGUCAAAGGCUGCUCGGAAAAGGGUGGCGCUUGAGGAGAGGUUUAUGUUCUAUCAGCUAGUUGGCGAGGUAAUGGCUCACCAAGGCUUUGACGGAUAGCCGGCCUGAGAGGGCGAUCGGCCACACUGGGACUGAGACACUGCCCAGACUCCUACGGGAGGCAGCAGUAGGGAAUAUUGUGCAAUGCCCGCAAGGGUGACACAGCGACGCCGCGUGGGGGAUGAAGGCCUUCGGGUUGUAAACCCCUGUCAGGUGGGAGGAAACUCUUGCUUAAUUAGCAAGAUUGACAUAACCAUCAGAGGAAGCACUGGCUAACUCCGUGCCAGCAGCUGCGGUAAUACGGAGGGUGCAAGCGUUGUUCGGAUUUACUGGGCGUAAAAGGCAUGUAGGCGGCUGGAUCAAUCAGAUGUGGAAUACCCCGGCUUACCCGGGGCACGGCAUUUGAUAUUGUCCGGCUAGAGUACGGGAGAGGAGAGUGGAACUCUUGGUGUAGCGGUGAAAUGCGUAGAUAUCAAGAGGAACACCAGAGGCGAAGGCGACUCUCUGGUCCGUCACUGACGCUGAGAUGCGAAAGCUAGGGGAGCAAACGGGAUUAGAUACCCCGGUAGCCCUAGCCGUAAACGAUGGAUACUGACUUGGGGCAUCUUUAGGUGUCUCAGGCUCAGCUAACGCAGUAAGUAUCCUGCCUGGGGAGUACGAUCGCAAGACUAAAACUCAAAGGAAUUGACGGGGGCUCACACAAGCAGUGGAGCAUCUGGUUCAAUUCGAUACUACGCGAAGAACCUUACCAGGGUUUGACAUGCUGGUAGUAGAAGUUCGAAAGGAUAACGACUUUAAAGUAAUCUGAGGAGCCAGCACAGGUGUUGCAUGGCUGUCGUCAGUUCGUGUCGUGAGAUGUUGGGCUAAGUCCUAUAACGAGCGAAACCCUUGUCUUUAGUUGCUCGGCGCAAGUCGAGCUCUCUAAAGAGACCGCCUCGGUUAACGGGGAGGAAGGUGGGGAUGACGUCAAGUCAGCAUGGCCUUUAUGCCCUGGGCGACACAGGUGCUACAAUGGUCGGUAUAAAGGGUUGCCAAGUCGCAAGGCGGAGCUAAUCCUUAUAAAGCCGAUCUCAGUUCGGAUCGGGGGCUGAAACUCGCCCCCGUGAAGCUGGAAUUGCUAGUAAUCGCGGAUCAGCCACGCCGCGGUGAAUAUGUUCCUGAGCCUUGUACACACCGCCCGUCAAGCCACCCAAGCACGGGGUACCUGAAGUUGUUUUUCUAACCCGCAAGGGACGGAAACACCCAAGGUAAAACGUAUGAGGAGGGCUAAGUCGUAACAAGGUA
rnacentral:rRNA from 1 species